UAGAAUGAAACUCGCUGGAUUGGGUAUUUAGCUGUUAACUAAAUUAUUACGGGAUCGAGACCCGUCAUUCUAG
rnacentral:tRNA from 1 species